rnacentral:rRNA from 1 species
UACGAAGGGGGCUAGCGUUGCUCGGAAUCACUGGGCGUAAAGCGCACGUAGGCGGAUUGCUAAGUCAGGGGUGAAAUCCUGGAGCUCAACUCCAGAACUGCCUUUGAUACUGGCGACCUUGAGUCCGGGAGAGGUGAGUGGAACUGCGAGUGUAGAGGUGAAAUUCGUAGAUAUUCGCAAGAACACCAGUGGCGAAGGCGGCUCACUGGCCCGGUACUGACGCUGAGGUGCAAAAAGCGUGGGGAGCAAACAG